rnacentral:rRNA from 1 species
AACGACUCUCGGCAACGGAUAUCUCGGCUCACGCAUCGAUGAAGAACGUAGCAAAAUGCGAUACUUGGUGUGAAUUGCAGAAUCCCGUGAACCAUCGAGUUUUUGAACGCAAGUUGCGCCCGAAUCCUUUUGGUUGAGGGCACGUCUGCCUGGGCGUCACAC